GGCUGGUCCGAGUGCAGUGGUGUUUACAACUAAUUGAUCACAACCAGUUACAGAUUUCUGUGUUCCUUUUCCACUCCCACUGCUUCACUUGACUAGCCUUAA
rnacentral:Y_RNA from 1 species